UACGUAGGUGGCAAGCGUUGUCCGGAUUUACUGGGCGUAAAGAGCGCGCAGGCGGUCGUUCAAGUCGCGUGUGAAAGCCCCCGGCUCAACUGGGGAGGGUCACGCGAUACUGAUCGACUGGAAGGCAGGAGAGGGUAGUGGAAUUCCCGGUGUAGUGGUGAAAUGCGUAGAUAUCGGGAGGAACACCAGUGGCGAAGGCGGCUUCCUGGCCUGUUCUUGGCGCUGAGGCGCGAAAGCUAGGGGAGCAAACGGG
rnacentral:rRNA from 1 species